UUAAAUCUCAAUAUAAUUACAGUUGUUCUGAAAAGGGCACAGAGGUUUAUAUGAGAACAUCAGUAAACAAACAGUGCCAUAAAGACCAAGCAGACAGCUCAGAGAUAAAGUGACUCUGGCAGAGCUGCAGAGAUCCACAGCUCAGGUGGGAUAAUUUGCUGACUAGUUGUGCACUCCACAGAGAAAGUCAGAAGUACCAACACCAGGUUGAACAAGGCAUGAGGUCAGUGUAAACAUAUGAUGAAAGGUUUUCUGAAUAAGUGAGAUCAGAAAUGAACUUUCUGGACAAUUUUUACUGAUACACUCAUAUUUUUUAAUUUCAAAUCUUUCAGAUGGGGGGUUUGCAGAGGCUCUUGGUGCUUUUUUCCCUCUUAUCUUGCUAUGUGCAAAUUGUUUCUCUUCAUGAGUAUUUUUUAUUGUUACCAAUACUAAGACUAAGACAAAAAUAACUAAACUAUAUCUGAAAUGCUACAUGUGGAAAAACUCAUCCUCAUGAUCCUGUAGAGAUUGGUGGAGCUAAAUACAGAAUAACCAUAGAAACCUUCAUGUAAAAAUAAACAUUCCAUGUAGCAAUUAAAUAAAAUGAUUAUUUUAAAGGAAGUUUAAUUAACUGAGACACAGGCUCACAAGCCAUUUACUGAUGUCAAAUGUUAGCAUGUUAGCCAAUUAAAUUUUAUAUUAGUUAAGAUAAUGAGGAUAUUUUGAGAGACAAAUUUUAUACCCGUCUUUCUCCGACUUUCAUUCACUUGUGCUGAAAACACACGCUGCUGUUGGUCUGCUAUUUUAUGCAACUGCAUCUUCACUUUCCUUUUUCUCCCACAACAUCCAUAUCAAUGUAAAAUGAAGGGGAACAGAAUAUGUAUUUCACAGCUAAAAGAGCUCCCCCCAAGGUUGUACUCAAAUUAUUCUAUAUAGCAUCAGUACCUUCCUGUGGUGGCAACUAUAUGCACAAAUGAGGGGGGAAAAAACAGAAAAGUUGCAAGGAUCAUUCUUUAUUCCCUUUCCUUUUAUGUAGGAACACAAGUUUCUUCUUUUUCACUUUCAGCUAAAGUUAUGAGAAGUCCCUGUGGAAGGCCUAAAGGGCCACUUCAGGCUCUAGGACCAGAGAUUGAAGAACCCUGGGUUAGUGUAGUCAAAUCCCAGCCUUGUCACAACUAAAGAUGUGACAAGACUUGAAAAUUGACUCUCCAUCCUAUUCUACUGAUCUUGAGCAACCAAAUAAGGAAACACCUCCUAAAAGCCCUGCAGUCGUAAUCUGCAAUGAAAUGAAAAGUGGCUGUAGCAUUCACUAAGGUCGGCUGAAUGGAAAAACGUAUGGGUUGUUGACUAAAAAAUGUCAAAAACCACAUACAGCAUGUGCUUUUUACACGUCAUAAUUAUGUGCUGCUUUGUAUGCAUCUUGGGCAAAUUUAUUUGAAUAGGAAGCAUUUGUGAACUCAAGUUUUUUCAUUGGGUUCAGUUUCGCCAUUUUCACUUGUUUGGGAAACUAAGAGGAAAAGAGGCUUGACUCUCAUGCUUAUCUGUCUUGUAAUUACAUUCUCUGUAGUCGUGCGGGGCCCAGGGGUCAGAUGGGUUUGUGGCACCUCUAGAGUAAACAAGUUUUACGAUUGCAGAGAGACUUACUCAGCACCUCUCUCUAACCCUGAAGGAGUGUAUGUACGUGGGAUGAAUCUGGAGUAGCACAUGAGAAAAUGUCUGUUGGUAAAAAAAAAAACGAACAAAACCCUAAAGAAAAGCAGAUUGCCUUUGUUUUCGAAAUGACAAUUUUAGGGUAACCUUCGACUGCAUGUCUCUGCGCGUGUGUGUGCGCUUGUGUGUACCUGGAGUUCUCACAUUGUCAACUGUAAUGACUAUUAUUUUGUGGCAUAACAAACCAAUUCGAUGAGCAUUUUCAACUGUCUAUUCACCAGCUCAGGCACCUGAUGGUUACAGUCUUCUGGGGCAGACUAGUUAAUUCUAUCUUUCCAUGGGCAAAAACAGCAUCUGACAAAUGAAGUGAGGUUCUCUCCUCUGAGGAACAAUGGGUUUGCUAUCCCUCUGCCAGUGGAAGGAGGACAGCCAAUUGUAAUAAACCAUAAUUAAUGUCAGUGGCACAAACAGCAGGGGGAUUCAUUUUCAAUCUGCGCCUCAAAGUGUUCUCCACGCCGUGUGACUUGCUUCUCUCCAACUCCUUCCUCUUUGACAAGUACGAGAAUUUGCAUAAAAGCCUCAAACCAACACAUACACGCGCGACUUCAGAC